AUUAAUUGGUAACAGGACUUGGUGUAGUCCAAAUCUGUCUAUAAUCAUACUUGUGAUUGACAAGCAGUUGUCCAAUCUUUUUAAUCACUUGUAUGAUCACAGUCCAAAUUGGACUCCUCUUGGUCCAAUUACUAUUAUUAAUGGCUUUUUAUAUUGCUGGCACUGGAGUUCUCAAUAUUGUUACCCCUUUAACUCCCAUGAGUGACCAAGACAGAAUUUCUCCUUAUAACAUGAGAUUAUUAUUACUGCUGUAGUUGAUCCAAUACCAAAUUAUCUGAACUAACAUAAUAAGAAUUGCAUAGCAGACAGUAGCAAGGAUUACUAAUGAGAUCCCAGGAGUGAAAGGGUGAGGACCUGCUGGAAUUACAUGUAAAUCUUUAACUUUUUUUUUUAGUGGGAAAAAGAUACAAAGUGGAUUGAUCCGUUGACAAUGUUUCAGAAGAUGGCACUGAGUUAUACAGGAUAAGGAAGAAGAAGAUUUUUUGUCAUGGUGGAGAAAGCCACUGUAAAUAUGCAAAAACUGGACUGCCUGUAUGCACUGAAAGAAUCUUGAGCUGUGUACAAGUGACAGGUGACUAAUAGCUGAGCCUCAGUGGAGCCGGCUUCACCUGUUAAGUCUCUUCCCCAAACUUGAUCUAAAAUGGUAAGACUCAGUCCACCAAAAAACAAAGAGAAGAUAGUGAAAACUAUUUCGGAAACUGGACUAUAUUGCUGCAUAGAAUGGAUCUGGAACUGUGUACAAGAGAUGGGUGACUAAUAGCUGACCUCGAAUGGAGUCAGCUUCAUCCAGAAAAUCUCUUCCUCAGUCUUGAUCUGGGAUGCUAUCAGAUUUGGUCCACCAAAAAACAAAGAGAAGUGUGUGAAAACUGUUUUGGAAACUGGACAGUCUUGCUGUACUAAACAGAUCUUGAACUGCGUGUAAGACAUGGGUGACUAAUGGCUUACCUUGAAUGAAGUCGGUGUCACCCAGAAAAUGUCUUCCUCAUUCUUGAUCUGGAAUGCUAUCAGACUUGGUCCACCAAAAAACAAAGAGAAGUGUGUGAAAACUGUUUUGGAAACUGGACUGUCUUGCUUUGCCGAACGGAUCUGGAACUGUGUACAAGAGAAGGGUGACUAAUAGCUGACCUCGAAUGGAGUUGGCUUCACCCAGGAAAUCUCUUCCUCAGUCUUGAUCUGGGAUGCUACCAGACUUGGUCCACCAAAAAACAAGGAGAAGAGUGUGAAAACUGUUUCGGAAACGGGACUGUCUUGCUGUACUAAACAGAUCUUGAACUGUGUGCAAGAGAUGGGUGACUAAUAGCUGACCUCGAAUGGAUUCGGCUUCACCCAGAAAAUCUCUUCCUCAUUCUUGACCUGCGAUGCUAAGACUUGGUCCACCAAAAAAAAAGAGAAGUGUGUGAAAACUGUUUUGGAAACUGGACUGUCUUGCUUUGCCGAACGGAUCUGGAACUGUGUACAAGAGAAGGGUGACUAAUAGCUGACCUCGAAUGGAGUUGGCUUCACCCAGAAAAUGUCUUCCUCAGUCUUGAUCUGGGAUGCUACCAGACUUGGUCCACUAAAAAACAAAGAGAAAGGAUAUCCUUUUUUCCCUUUCCUUAUCUUAGGAGUGAAGAAUUUAUUUUUUUUCAUCAUCAACCGAUUUUUAAGCUUUAAGAGGAUCUUAAUGGGGUUAACCCAUACACUUGAAACGGCAAAAAGGUUAAGCCGUAAGGCAUAGAAAUUGACAAAUCUUAACCGGUAGUCGUAAAAAAUAUUUGACCUUAACAAUUUUUCUUUUAAACGUAAUGUAAAUGUAAAGA